AGAUAUCUACAACAUGAUGAGACGCCUCGUAGUAAAUGUCCUGGACUUUAUAGAACUAUUCAACCAGGGUCUCUCUCUCCCCUCCUCUCCUCUGCAGUGUUUUGAGCUCCAGCAGCCCUUUGAUUACCCCUGAGACGAGGAGGGCGUCCUGACAGCCUGCAUCCACCCAGAGAGACAGGAUCGUGAUUUUGAGCCUGUGUUUUUGGGGGACUCUCUGUUCCAGACUCUGGUUUCGGGGGUCACUGUUCCCUACAGUGGUGACUGGGAGCCUGUUUACCCCGUGUUUAUC